rnacentral:rRNA from 1 species
UGGGGAAUAUUGGACAAUGGGCGAAAGCCUGAUCCAGCCAUGCCGCGUGUGUGAAGAAGGUCUUCGGAUUGUAAAGCACUUUAAGUUGGGAGGAAGGGCAGUAAGAGAAUACCUUGCUGUUUUGACGUUACCGACAGAAUAAGCACCGGCUAACUCUGUGCCAGCAGCCGCGGUACUACAGAGGGUGCAAGCGUUAAUCGGUAUUACUGGGCGUAAAGCGCGCGUAGUUGGUUCGUUAAGUUGAAUGUGAACGCCCCGGGCUCAACCUGGGAACUGCUUCCAAAACUGGCGAGCUAGUGGAGGGCAGAGGAUGGUGGAAUUUCCUGUGUAGCGGUGAAAUGCGUAGAUAUUGGAAGGAACACCAGUGGCGAAGGCGACCACCUGUGCUCAUACUGACACUGAGGUGCGAAAGCGUGGGGAGCAAACAAG